AAGCGUAACUCCUGGUUAUUUGGGUUCGUUUUCCCGCUGUUUUCUGGACGUAACUUGACGUAGGAAGAACAGUGGGAGCAGCAGCGGGAGGGACGGAGGAGAGGAGGAGAGAAGCGCCACCGGAGCUCCUCUAAAGAAGGAAGAAGUGAAUUUGCCCAGUGUGGGAUCAAUAAAGAACGAGGACCCAGCAGGAAAUGAUAAGACAGACAUACUCAGAGUGUGCAAGCUAUUAGAGAAGAACCAGACCCCGGGUCACCCAAAGAUGACA